GGGCCCGUAGCCUAGCCUGGAUUAGGGCGUCGAGCAACCGCUGCACGUAGGCCUUCGGAGCCGGAGGUCAGGGGUUCAAAUCCCCUCGGGCCCGCCA
rnacentral:tRNA from 1 species